ACCACAGAGUUUGCUGUUCCAGUUUGUCUUCUGCUCUCUGAUGGUCAUCAUGUUCUGGAGGAACACAGCAGUUCUGAUCCUGAUCCAGAUGAUUCAGGCUCAGCAGAUCUUAACAGCUCCACCGUUAACUGAACUCAGAAGCCUGGAGGUUUCCAGAGGAGAUUCAGUCACUUUGACUUGUAACAUGUCUGUGGAAGAAGCAUCAUUAGUCAAAUGGAUCAAAGGAAAUUUAUCAUUUGUUCAUUCCAUCGUCCUCGAUGCUACUGUUUCAAAUUUCUCUUCUUCAAAGAUCAGUAUAGAGACCGAACUCCCUUCAAAGUUAAAUAUACUGAAUGUUCUAGAUGAAGAUGAGGGACUUUAUAUUUGUACUUUAACUGGCAUUAAAGGACUAAAUACAAUUAUAUGGAACCUAACAGUCGAAGAAGUGAAACGAAUCAGUCAUUCAGUUUAUCCUUCUCUAAGAAUCCCGAUUGCAGCAGGAUUUCUUCUGUGUUGCAUUAUUUUAGUCGUCUGCGUCCACAGAAAAUGUAGAAGAUCAGAGUCUCAAUGAGACGAGAGCAUCUGUGUCUUUAUGCUGAACACAAUAAAAGAAGAUGACUGCAGAGAACAUGGAGAUGAAGGAAAGGAGUUUACACUUUGAGCUUGGACGUUUGGUUUGGUUAAAUGUGACAUUUAUGUGGUAAAAACAUGAAGAUAUUCAACUUUAGAACCCUUUUUGUAAAUAUGUUUUUUUAAGUCCCAACUCCGCCAUCUGGUGGAAAAACUGAGAAUUACAACAAAAUAAUAGAACUACCUGUGAGAGCCAGAGUCAUACAUAUGUAAAAUGUUUAUGAAGAACUUGAUAUAAUAAGAUGACAGUAAUACAGAAAAUGUUGAGUUUAAUUCUGUAAAUCCAUGCAUCAAAGGGAAGGUAUACACAAGAUGUCACACCUAAGAAUUUCAAAGGUGUAAACUUUAAAAAAAGAAGGCAUUCUGUUUCAAUUUUGUCCUUGGAAGUCUAAUUUUGAGUGUCAUCAUUGACAAACAGAGAACUGCAUUUUAAAUCCUUUUUAUAAAAUAUUCUACUCUGUUGUUCUACUGCAAAUAUCCACUAGAUGGCAGCAAACUCUGACUUUAAACAAACUGGUCAGAAGAAUUUGACCUUUUUAAAAAAAUGUAUUUGUAUUUUCAAUGCAAAUUUUUCAGAUUAAAUAAUUAUGUUUUUUCAAAUAAUUGCAUUUUAUUAAUCAAUAAAAAAUAGUGAAUGAUGCUGAAGUGAAAAAACUUUAGAAAUACUUUAUUCUAUAUCCUUCAUGAAGACUGUGAACAUUGUAUGAGCAGAGAAAGAACCACAAAUGUAAUGUUUGCUUUGAGGAUGUUUCUGGAGAAGAACACAGAAGAUCAGGAGGAACUGUUCUGUGUUUUUAUAGAUCUAGAGAAAGUCAAA